rnacentral:rRNA from 1 species
CAGCCCCUCGAGUGGUAGGGAUGAUUAUUUGGCCUAAAGCGUCCGUAGCCGGCCGGAUAAGUCUCCCGUUAAAUCCAGCGUCUCAAGCGUUGGACUGCGGGAGAUACUGUCUGGCUAGAGAGUGGGAGAGGUCUGCGGUAUUCUGGGGGUAGGGGCGAAAUCCUUUGAUCCCCGGAGGACCACCAGUGGCGAAGGCUGCAGACUAGAACACGUCUGACGGUCAGGGACGAAAGCUGGGGUAGCGAACCGGAUUAGAUACCCGAGUAGUCC